CCCUAGUACGGCGAGUGAAGCGGGAAGAGCUCAAAUUUGUAAUCUGGCACUUUCAGUGUCCGAGUUGUAAUCUCGAGAAGUGUUUUCCGCGCUGGACCGCAUACAAGUCUGUUGGAAUACAGCGUCAUAGUGGUGAGAACCCCGUAACUGAUGCGGAUGCCCAGUGCUUUGUGAUACACUUUCGAAGAGUCGAGUUGUUUGGGAAUGCAGCUCAAAUUGGGUGGUAAAUUCCAUCUAAAGCUAAAUAUUGGCGAGAGACCGAUAGCGAACAAGUACCGUGAGGGAAAGAUGAAAAGCACUUUGGAAAGAGAGUUAACAGUACGUGAAAUUGUUGGAAGGGAAACGCUUGAAGUCAGACUUGCUAUUUGGAUUUAUUCAAUUCGCAGGCCAGCAUCAGUUUUCGGGGGUGGAAAAGGGUUUGGAGAAUGUGGCAACUCCGGUUGUGUUAUAGCUCCUUGCUGGAUUCAUCUUUGGGGACUGAGGAACGCAGCGCGCUUUUGCAAGGCUCUCGAGCUUUCGCGCUUAGAUGC
rnacentral:rRNA from 1 species